rnacentral:rRNA from 1 species
AACGAACGCUGGCGGCAGGCCUAACACAUGCAAGUCGAGCGGACCCUUCGGGGUUAGCGGCGGACGGGUGAGUAACGCGUGGGAAUAUGCCCUUCUCUACGGAAUAGUCCUGGGAAACUGGGGGUAAUACCGUAUACGCCCUUUGGGGGAAAGAUUUAUCGGGGAAGGAUUAGCCCGCGUUAGAUUAGGUAGUUGGUGGGGUAAUGGCCUACCAAGCCGACGAUCCAUAGCUGGUUUGAGAGGAUGAUCAGCCACACUGGGACUGAGACACGGCCCAGACUCCUACGGGAGGCAGCAGUGGGGAAUCUUAGACAAUGGGGGCAACCCUGAUCUAGCCAUGCCGCGUGAGUGAUGAAGGCCUUAGGGUUGUAAAGCUCUUUCAGCUGGGAAGAUAAUGACGGUACCAGCAGAAGAAGCCCCGGCUAACUCCGUG